UGCAGUCGAACGAGGUGCUUUUGUAGCAAUACGAGAGUAUCCUAGUGGCGAACGGGUGAGUAACGCGUUGGUGACCUACCCCAAAGUGUGGAAUAACAGUCCGAAAGGAUUGCUAAUACCGCAUGUGGUUAUCGGGCUUAGAAACUGAUAACUAGAGGAGCAAUUCGCUUUGGGAGGGACCUGCGUCCCAUCAGCUAGUUGGUGAGGUAACGGCUCACCAAGGCUACGACGGGUAGGGGACCUGAGAGGGUGACCCCCCACAAUGGAACUGAAACACGGUCCAUACACCUACGGGUGGCAGCAGUAGGGAAUAUUGCACAAUGGGCGAAAGCCUGAUGCAGCAACGCCGCGUGUGCGAUGAAGGCCUUCGGGUCGUAAAGCACUUUUCUGAGAGAUGAGAAAGGACAGUAUCUCAGGAAUAAGUCUCGGCUAACUACGUGCCAGCAGCCGCGGUAAAACGUAGGAGGCGAGCGUUAUCCGGAUUCACUGGGCGUAAAGCGCGUGCAGGUGGUUCGGUAAGUUAGGCGUGAAAUCUCCCGGCUCAACUGGGAGAGGUCGUCUAAUACUACCGAACUUGAGAGCAGAAGAGGAAGAUGGAAUUCCCGGUGUAGUGGUGAAAUGCGUAGAUAUCGGGAGGAACACCAGUGGCGAAGGCGAUCUUCUGGUCUGUUUCUGACACUCAGACGCGACAGCUAGGGUAGUAAACGGGAUUAGAGACCCCGGUAAUCCUAGCCGUAAACGAUGUGAACUUGGCGUUGGUGGGUUAAACUCCAUCAGUGCCGAAGCAAACGCGAUAAGUUCACCGCCUGGGGACUACGGCCGCAAGGUUAAAACUCA
rnacentral:rRNA from 1 species